CCUUGCUGUACAAACGUGUGCAGGGCGCCGUUGGGUUACAUGCCAAGUGAGUACUCGCAUCAUAUGUGCUUUGUAGUUCCUUUCCGGACUAAGCAGCUGAUUUCCUUCUGGCUUUAUAUACACUAACCAUACUGUGAUAUAUGACUUUGCCACACUGCCUCUGAUCUUUAUACAGAUCUUAUGCAGCUAUUCUGUGAAAUCCACAUGGUUCUUCUAUUGACCUAGCACUGCAGCCUAAAUUACUCACCGAUGUUCCUGGUUAUUUAACUCUUCAAAUCGCUAUUUAUGAAUACGCACAUGACCAGUUCAAUCUCGGCGGGACUCUGUGUCUGUCACCAACUGUGGGCAACUCGUGGUUGUUUAUUCUGACUGGAUAUCGCUCCCUCCCCUGAAGAAGCGGAAGUCCGCGAAACAUGUAGGGUCCAUGCGAUUUCCUUUUCCAGUUGCAUCUGUAUUCCAACUGACUGAUGCUCUCUGUUAUGCACUGAAUUAAAUCAACAACUGGUUGUCCACUUCUUUUUAAACGAAUUAAUUGUAUAUUUUGUAUUUCUAUAUAUAAAUAAAUAUUUUUUGUAAUUUUGUAACAAAGAAUUUGUGCUUUCUCAUCACUAUCAUUUUGCAAAAACACGCACCGCAAAUUAUGCCUUUUUCUUUCUUUUUUGAAAAAACUUUAUCUACCUAUUUGGGAUUAGGUGCCUUUUUCUUGGGUGAAUCUAUACAUUUUGGACCAUAUCUAUAUAACAGGAAUCUUGUGUCAAUCCUUGUAGGUUGAAGAGCUGCAGUAGCUAAAGGCUAAAGCCUGGUACAGACUAGUACUACACAAUUCUGGCAAAAAUGAGAAUCACAAUUUUUUUGCUUAGAAUAAAGAUCACGAUUCUCACAGUGCAACAUCAUC